rnacentral:rRNA from 1 species
AUUGAACGCUGGCGGCAUGCUUUACACAUGCAAGUCGAACGGUAACAGGCCUUCGGGCGCUGACGAGUGGCGAACGGGUGAGUAAUGCAUCGGAACGUGCCCAGUCGUGGGGGAUAACUAUCCGAAAGGAUAGCUAAUACCGCAUACGAUCUGCGGAUGAAAGCGGGGGACCUUCGGGCCUCGCGCGAUUGGAGCGGCCGAUGUCAGAUCAGGUAGUUGGUGGGGUAAAGGCUCACCAAGCCAACGAUCUGUAGCAGGUCUGAGAGCACGACCAGACACACGGGGACGGAGACACGGCCCAGACUCCUACGGGAGGCAGCAGUGGGGAAUUGUGGACAAGGGGCGCAAGCCUGAUCCAGCAAUGCCGAGUGCAGGAAGAAGGCCUUCGGGUUGUAAACUGCUUUUGUACGGAACGAAACGUCUCUGGUUAAUACCCGGGGCUAAUGACGGUACCGUAAGAAUAAGCACCGGCUAACUACGUGCCAGCCGCCGCCGUAACAC